CAGUGUGUAACAUGGGAGGAUCUAUUGGCAGAAAAUAGCUACCUUUGUAUACACAAAACAAGAAUUGUGUUUAUAAUGUCAGUUUUUUUAAAACAAGCCUGUGCUUGUGGAUUCAGGAGCAGAUGAGAGUUUCAUCGACCUGUCUUACGUGUUAGAAGCCAACGCCCUUGACGGUCGACUAAUCUGCAAGGUCACUCAUCGCACUCAACCCAUUCAGCUAAUAAUAAACGAUGAGGAAACACACUCACCACGUCUGACAAGUUCUUCAACGCCUUGAGCAUCAUCUAAUUAUGAAAGAAAUGUGAGUUACACAAAUCCACGGUCUCCAUCGUGGGGUUCAUCAUCAUUGCUGAAGACAUCCAAAUGGAUCCUGAAGACUAGCUUCACCUCUGCUUGAGUGCUCACCCUUUCCGACCCCAGUUUACAGUUUGCGGUGGAGUUGGAUGCCUCAGACAUAGGCAUUGGAGCAGUGCUUUCCCAAAGAUCCUCCUCCGAUAACAAACUGCAUCCUUGCGCCUUUCUGUCUCGGAAUCUGUCACCAGCUGAGAGAAAUUAUGAUGUUGGCAAUCGGGAACUACUGGCGGUUAAGGUGGCACUGGUGGAGUGCCGCCACUGGAGGGAUCAACAAAACAACAAACAUCCAUUCCUAGUCUGGACUGAUCACAAGAACCUAGAAUACAUCAAAUCUGCAAAGCGUCUCAACCCUACACGAGCCAGGUGGACUCUUUUUUUUCACACAGUUCAACUUCACUCUAUCAUAUUCUCUUGUCCUGGUUCCAAGAACUUUAAACCUGACUCCCCCAGAAUUCCCUCUUUUGUUAUUCCUCUCUCCUGUGUGGUAGGAGCGGUAACCUGGGGAAGAGAAUAGGUUGUUCACCAAACCGUCUUUUUGUGACUGUUACUCUAUAUUCCCAGGUUAUCUAUUGAGCCCAUACCUCCUGUCUCUCCUGUCACCCUGGCAUUGGGUGGACCAUCUUCUUUAUUAAGCAGCUGAGAGACUAAAUCAAGAUCUCCUGCCUCAUCUCUCAGAAUCACUCAUCCUGGAGCGAAUAUCUUAUUUGGGUUGAGGAUGCUCAUUAUACUUUACCCUGUUCAUCUACUGGUCUCUCCCCUUUCCAGUGUGUCUACAAUCGGACCCAGGACAUCAUACAGACCUUUGAAGAAGAUGUGGCUUUCCACAAGGGAUCUUCUGCUAAGGGUGGAAUCCUGAAAGCUGGCGCCAUGGUUUGUGGGUCCAUUUUCCAUCUCCAUGGUCAUCAAUCUGAUGGUAGUACAUAUCCAGCUUCCCAGAUCCAUGAGGAUUCAUCGCACUUUUCAUGUUGCCCGACUCAAACCAGUUAAGGAGAACUUGUUAGGCUUAAGAUAAUGUUUUUGAUAUUCCUGGAUAUUUUCAGAUGAAAUAUGAGGGUGGACUUCUUCAGCUAAGACCUGACCACACAUACAUCCAGCUAUGGUUGUCAUGGUUCUGUCUUUAUUGUUUGUCUUAUUUUGAAGUUCAUUUGUGUUUGCUCUUUUAUUUUGUGUCUUAUUUUUCUGAUCCGUUCACUUCCUGCCCAUGUGUGUUUCUCGCCUAUUGUAAUUGUUUGCUCUGCCCUAAUCACCUGCACAUGUGCCUGAUUACCCCCACACCUGUUUAGUAGACAAAUUGAUUUAUCCUCUAAAUACCUCGAAUUGUGCUAUUGAGUCCAGUUUUCUUGGUCUGGUCUUAACAAUAGUACAGUAAUGUGCUAGCUGACAGAUGUUGACACACCUAGCAGUGUAGUAGCAUUUGCUGUAAAAUUUGUCAACCAUGUAUCUAUAUGUUACUAAAAGGCUUGCAACAGAGCUAGUCGUAAUAAUUAAAUCACCACUGUAAAUACAUCAAGAUUUUUAAAAAGAAAAUAAUAAUAGGUACUAUUUAAUGUAAAAAUUGAACAUAACACAGCAAAUGCAGGUAAUAACUCAAAGACUAAAUAUAUUUUUUUACCAAACAAACAAAAAUCAAUGCCUUGUGGUAUCCUUUCGUUUUUGUAAUAAUAGGCUGUGAAAAAUUUUCCUUUUGUCAGGUUUGCAUUCUUAUAACCAUUCUUUCCUAAAUAAAUAUUUAUAAGUUUAUAUUUUAUAGUUUCAUGCUGUCACUUACAUAAACCACGUUUAAUUCUUUUUUCACAACAUAGAAGCUUUGCACUUUCACAGGGAACACAGCAUCAAUCUAGAUAUGUAAUACUUGUGACAUGUCAUAUAUGUUGUUGGACGGAGAUAUGGACGAGGACAGGGAGGAUACAGCAUGAUCUCACGUGGCCCUGCUACACUUUGUAUCACUCCUGCUGCAUUCUACUGGUGUAACACUAGAGGGGGAUGCUUAACAGGAUAUGGUAUAACAGGCCAGCUGAUUGUUGGUUUAUUGUGUGUAUGUGUGUUUGUAUGUUUGUAUAAAUGACAUUUCAAGGCUUACCCUCUGCAUAUUUGUACCUUUAUUAUAAAGGAACACGUGCACUUACUA